CCUACGGGAGGCAGCAGUGGGGGAUAUUGCACAAUGGGGGGAACCCUGAUGCAGCGACGCCGCGUGGGUGAAGGAGUGCUUCGGCAUGUAAAGCCCUAUCGGCAGGGAAGAAGCAAGACGGUACCUGACUAAGAAGCCCCGGCUAACUACGUGCCAGUAGCCGCGGUAAUACGUAGGGGGCGAGUGUUAUCCGGAUUCACUGGGUGUAAAGGGAGCGUAGACGGCCAUGCAAGCCAGGGGUGAAAGCCCGGGGCCCAACCCCGGGACCGCCCUUGGAACUGGAUGGCUUGAGUGCGGGAGGGGCAGGCGGAAUUCCUGGUGUAGCGGUGAAAUGCGUAGAUAUCAGGAGGAACACCGGCGGCGAAGGCGGCCUGCUGGACCGCGACUGACGUUGAGGCUCGAAAGCGUGGGGAGCGAACAGGAUUAGAUACCCGGGUAGUC
rnacentral:rRNA from 1 species